UACGUAGGGGGGCAAGCGUUGUCCGGAAUUAUUGGGCGUAAAGAGCUCGUAGGCGGUCUGUUGCGUCGGCUGUGAAAACCCGGGGCUCAACUCCGGGCCUGCAGCCGAUACGGGCAGACUAGAGUUCGGUAGGGGAGAUCGGAAUUCCUGGUGUAGCGGUGAAAUGCGCAGAUAUCAGGAGGAACACCGGUGGCGAAGGCGGAUCUCUGGGCCGAUACUGACGCUGAGGAGCGAAAGCGUGGGGAGCGAACAGG
rnacentral:rRNA from 1 species